rnacentral:rRNA from 1 species
GAUGAACGCUAGCUACAGGCUUAACACAUGCAAGUCGAGGGGCAGCAUUUCAGUUUGCUUGCAAACUGGAGAUGGCGACCGGCGCACGGGUGAGUAACACGUAUCCAACCUGCCGAUAACUCGGGGAUAGCCUUUCGAAAGAAAGAUUAAUACCCGAUGGCAUAAUUAGACCGCAUGGUCUUAUUAUUAAAGAAUUUCGGUUAUCGAUGGGGAUGCGUUCCAUUAGGCAGUUGGUGAGGUAACGGCUCACCAAACCUUCGAUGGAUAGGGGUUCUGAGAGGAAGGUCCCCCACAUUGGAACUGAGACACGGUCCAAACUCCUACGGGAGGCAGCAGUGAGGAAUAUUGGUCAAUGGGCGCAGGCCUGAACCAGCCAAGUAGCGUGAAGGAUGACUGCCCUAUGGGUUGUAAACUUCUUUUAUAUGGGAAUAAAGUUUUCCACGUGUGGAAUUUUGUAUGUACCAUAUGAAUAAGGAUCGGCUAACUCCGUGCCAGCAGCCGCGGUAAUACGGAGGAUCCGAGCGUUAUCCGGAUUUAUUGGGUUUAAAGGGAGCGUAGGUGGACAGUUAAGUCAGUUGUGAAAGUUUGCGGCUCAACCGUAAAAUUGCAGUUGAUACUGGCUGUCUUGAGUACAGUAGAGGUGGGCGGAAUUCGUGGUGUAGCGGUGAAAUGCUUAGAUAUCACGAAGAACUCCGAUUGCGAAGGCAGCUCACUGGACUGCAACUGACACUGAUGCUCGAAAGUGUGGGUAUCAAACAGGAUUAGAUACCCUGGUAGUCCACACAGUAAACGAUGAAUACUCGCUGUUUGCGAUAUACAGUAAGCGGCCAAGCGAAAGCAUUAAGUAUUCCACCUGGGGAGUACGCCGGCAACGGUGAAACUCAAAGGAAUUGACGGGGGGCCGCACAAGCGGAGGAACAUGUGGUUUAAUUCGAUGAUACGCGAGGAGCCUUACCCGGGCUUAAAUUGCAUUUGAAUAUAUUGGAAACAGUAUAGCCGUAAGGCAAAUGUGAAGGUGCUGCAUGGUUGUCGUCAGCUCGUGCCGUGAGGUGUCGGCUUAAGUGCCAUAACGAGCGCAACCCUUAUCUUUAGUUAUUAACAGGUCAUGCUGAGGACUCUAGAGAGACUGCCGUCGUAAGAUGUGAGGAAGGUGGGGAUGACGUCAAAUCAGCACGGCCCUUACGUCCGGGGCUACACACGUGUUACAAUGGGGGGUACAGAAGGCAGCUACCUGGUGACAGGAUGCUAAUCCCAAAAGCCUCUCUCAGUUCGGAUCGAAGUCUGCAACCCGACUUCGUGAAGCUGGAUUCGCUAGUAAUCGCGCAUCAGCCAUGGCGCGGUGAAUACGUUCCCGGGCCU